rnacentral:rRNA from 1 species
AGAGUUUGAUCCUGGCUCAGAUUGAACGCUGGCGGCAUGCUUUACACAUGCAACGUCGAAACGGGCAGGCACGGGGGCGAACCCUGGUGGCGAGGUGGCGAACGGGUGAGUAAUGCAUCGGAACGUAAUCCGUUGAGUGGGGGAUAACGCACGCGGAAAAGUUGUGCGUAAUACCGCAUAAGCUCUGAGGAGGAAAGCGGGGGACCGGAAAGGGCCUCGCGCUGAAGGAGCGGCCGAUGUCCGAUUAGCUAGUUGGUGAGGUAAAGGCUUACCAAGGCGACGAUCGGUAGCUGGUCUGAGAGGAUGAUCAGCUACACUGGGACUGAGACACGGCCCAGACUCCGUACGGGAGGCGAC